rnacentral:rRNA from 1 species
AUGAAGCUCCAGAAGUUUGAGUUUGAGGGCAAAAGAGGAAGAUAUGAUAGUCUUACCGGUGAUGUGAUCUAUGACUCCUCGUACGAUGCUCACAGCAUGGAUUUGUAUGAUUUCUGCUGUGAGAGUUUGAAGGACUUAAGGUUGGCGCGUAUUAAAACUUGGCCGGAAGUAGGACUUCGUGUUGUCCUAGGGAAAUGUAAAGCAUUGGAGAAGCUUUGCCUUGAGUAUGUUUGUGCCCUAAAUGACAAUGACAUGAUUGCAUUAUCUCGGAGCUGCAGCAACCUUAAAAGCAUCUCACUUUGGCUCAACCUGCAGCACUACACUAGUGAUGUCAACUAUUGUGAGACCAGGACGUCAUUUACUGAUAACAGCCUUUACGCUCUAGCCCUCAACUGUCGUAUGCUUCAGAUGGUAGACCUCAACUUUAUAGGAUGUGCUGCUGACUGGCCAUCAGAAAUAGGAUUCACACAACAGGGUUUUCUAGUGCUGAUUCAGUCCUGCCCGAUUCGUGUUCUCGUGCUAAAUACUGCCAACUUCUUUGAUGACGAGGGGAUGAAGGUUUAUUGUAUUAUUCAUUUAUAG